GAUGAACGCUAGCGGGAGGCUUAACACAUGCAAGUCGAGGGGCAUCACGAGGUAGCAAUACUUUGGUGGCGACCGGCGCACGGGUGAGUAACACGUAUGCAACCUUCCCUGUACAGGGGGAUAACCCGGAGAAAUUCGGACUAAUACCCCAUGAUGAUAUUUAUGGGCAUCCAUUGAUAUUUAAAGCUCUGGCGGUACAGGAUGGGCAUGCGCGACAUUAGCUAGUUGGUAAGGUAACGGCUUACCAAGGCUACGAUGUUUAGGGGACCUGAGAGGGUUGUCCCCCACACUGGUACUGAGACACGGACCAGACUCCUACGGGAGGCAGCAGUGAGGAAUAUUGGUCAAUGGGCGCAAGCCUGAACCAGCCAUCCCGCGUGAAGGAAGAAUGCGCUACGCGUUGUAAACUUCUUUUCCAGGGGAGAAUAAUCCUGUCGUGACAGGACUUGACGGUACUCUGGGAAUAAGCAUCGGCUAACUCCGUGCCAGCAGCCGCGGUAA
rnacentral:rRNA from 1 species